GUGCUUGCUUGGGCAGCACAUAGACUGAAAAUUAGACACUACAGAGAAGAUUACCAUGGCCCCUAUAUAAGGAUGACUCGCAAAUUUCUGAUGCAUCCUUUAUUAAA